AACGAACGCUGGCGGCAUACUCAACACAUGCAAGUCGAACGAACCCUUCGGGGUUAGUGGCGCACGGGUGCGUAACGCGUGGGAAUCUGCCCUUUGCUACGGAAUAACAGUGAGAAAUUACUGCUAAUACCGUAUGAUGUCGUAAGACCAAAGAUUUAUCGGCAAAGGAUGAGCCCGCGUAGGAUUAGCUUGUUGGUGAGGUAAAAGCUCACCAAGGCGACGAUCCUUAGCNGGUCUGAGAGGAUGAUCAGCCACACUGGGACUGAGACACGGCCCAGACUCCUACGGGAGGCAGCAGUGGGGAGUAUUGGACAAUGGGCGAAAGCCUGAUCCAGCAAUGCCGCGUGAGUGAUGAAGGCCUUAGGGUUGUAAGCUCUUUUACCCGGGAUGAUAAUGACAGUACCGGGAGAAUAAGCUCCGGCUAACUCCGUGCCAGCAGCCGCCGU
rnacentral:rRNA from 1 species